rnacentral:lncRNA from 1 species
AGCGCGUGACGGGGAUUCUGCCCCAGAAAUUUCUGGGGUUUGGUCGGAAUUGUGAGCCGAACGUCGUGGUGGUCUCGGAUUUUGCACAACACCACCAGAAAAGGUAGUUUAUGUAUACUGACAGAUUGUUUAGUCGCCGAAAAAUUGCACGGCGACGAGGUCUUCUUCCCGGAAGUAGCUGGAAUGAUGCACAGCUAUACUAUUCUCACCAAAGCUCUGAUACCAUGUGAGANNNN